UCAACAGAAUCUCCUUGGUCCUGCAGCAACCUUUAGAAGGUUUUUCAACAGAAAAGGUGUUUCUAUUCUACCCAAAUCAGACUAGGAAUCACAGUUCUGGGAAUGAUGCUACAAGUGAGCAGGGAGUGAAAUAGUUAUUGAUUACCACAACAAGAUGCAAAAAAAAAAAAAAAAAAAGGAAAACUUAGGGGAUUAAAAUGAUAAGGAAAGUCACAAGGACAAUAAGGAGUAAAGCCUGGACUUGAACUUCUGAUGACAAGCUUCCGCUUUGCCUCACAGCCUCUUAGACCAAGAUCCAAAUGAGUAAAACACACACAAAAGAGACAGGUAUCACCAUGAGCUCGUGUGGCCAAGAAGCCUUUGUAUUGACUGAACUUACCUUGGAUGUAAAUGCAUGUACAGUAAUAAGUUUCAACUUUUUUUAAGGACGUGGGCUCACAAAGGGAAAAACUGCUGGGAGUAGAAUAAAAACUGAGCAGGAUACAGACAACAGAGAUGAAGAAAAAGAAGUCCAGUUACAAGUAGAUGGGUGGGGAGGAAGAGUGAGAAAAUCCUAGAAAGCAAGCCAGACACUUUAUUCCUAAAACAUGGAAAGGUCAGCAUCAGCCAAUAGAUUGAGAAUUUGCAUUGUCUGAGUUAAGGAAAGCAUCUUGCAUUUUCUGGAGCACUGAGCAUCUCGUCUUGAACCUUCUGAGUUCUGGGAAGCUCCAAAUUCAUUUGCUGAAGCAAGAAGGAAAAACAAUUCUUGGAGGGAAUCUGAAAGAGAAUGAGACUGCACUGCCAAUGGUCUUCUGGUCAACCCUGGCCUGUGCGACUCCACAUGGGUCCUGUCCAUCACACUCUGCUCAUGAGAAAAUGCCCAAGAAAUACCCACAAGUUUUAAGCAAAGAAACUCCGCUUCACUGGAGAUGUGCUGUUAUUUGUGAGACCGCCAUGCCAACCUAAUAUUGCUGAACAAAAAUAUUGACUUCCAGACAACACUGAAUAGAAGUUUUGGUGAUGGGCAUCUGUGAUGGCUGUUAUUAUACGCUGCCUAGAUUCUUUGGAAAUGAAGGACUCAUGCCUACAGCUACUGAGAGUGCUACCUGAAGACAACCCUCAGCUUUAAGCCCUUUUCAGGGAUUGUCUUGCUUGAAAAAAGCUGUCUCACACAAGGGCUUGCCCCUUCCUGGUCAAGAUGCUCCAGCAUUAGAAUCAAGAUAUCAUCCAGUUUUUUUCCCUGAUCUUUACUAAUUUCAGAGAUGAACAUAUUUUAAUCCGGGUCAGAUCAGCUCCUUGCAGGGAGGAAUUUCUAUCAUUCUCUUUCAAAUGUACAUCCAAGGGCAGAGUUCACAUGAAGACGUGGGCAAAAAAUGCUCUUCUGGCAUGUUCUCAGGUCAAGAAUCUCAUUCUGGGAAGAGUCCUGUGGAACCUACUCUCAGAUGUGAGCUAAUUAGUGAGCUGCACAUCAAAAGAAGUGAAGUGUAUCUUGUAAAUAGGAUUUCAUUUAAAACAGAUCAAAGAAAGAUCUACUGAAUCACUCCCUCAUCCACUGAUUUCUCCAAGCAUCAGGCAGACGGUGAAGAGAACAACAAGUCACGAGAAUGAUAAACAUAGCUCCAAAGAACAACUGUGAUGCUCAAGUCAAAUAUUAAUGAGAAGAGAGAACCAAAUAUAUCCAGGGGUGGAAUUAUACUUCCUGGGACAUGCAUGGUUGGGUUUCUGAUGUAGGCCAGGAGGGCAGUAAUCUGUGUUUGUGACCCAGUCUACUUCUAAAAAUACAAGUUUAGAAA
rnacentral:antisense_RNA from 1 species